AUACGGAGGGUGCAAGCGUUGUUCGGAAUCACUGGGCGUAAAGGGCGCGCAGGCGGUUUGGUAAGUCAGAUGUGAAAGCCCACGGCUCAACCGUGGAAGUGCAUUUGAAACUGCCAGACUUGAGUACCAGAGGGGAAAGUGGAAUUCCCGGUGUAGAGGUGAAAUUCGUAGAUAUCGGGAGGAAUACCGGUGGCGAAGGCGACUUUCUGGCUGGAUACUGACGCUGAGGCGCGAAAGCGUGGGGAGCAAACAGGAUUAGAAACCCGUGUAGUCC
rnacentral:rRNA from 1 species